GCCAGACUCCUACGGGAGGCAGCAGUGGGGAAUAUUGCACAAUGGGGGAAACCCUGAUGCAGCGACGCCGCGUGAGUGAAGAAGUAUUUCGGUAUGUAAAGCUCUAUCAGCAGGAACGAGACAAGACGGUACCUGACUAAGAAGCCCCGGCUAACUACGUGCCAGCAGCCGCGGUAAUACGUAGGGGGCAAGCGUUAUCCGGAAUCACUGGGUGUAAAGGGAGCGUAGACGGCUGUGCAAGCCUGAAGUGAAAGGCGGGGGCCCAACCCCUGGACUGCUUUGGGAACUGUACGGCUGGAGUGCAGGAGAGGUAAGUGGAAUUCCUAGUGUAGCGGUGAAAUGCGUAGAUAUUAGGAGGAACACCAGUGGCGAAGGCGGCUUACUGGACUGUAACUGACGUUGAGGCUCGAAAGCGUGGGGAGCAAACAGGAUUAGAUACCCUCGUAAA
rnacentral:rRNA from 1 species